rnacentral:rRNA from 2 species
CGUGAGCUGGGUUUAGAACGUCGUGAGACAGUUCGGUCCCUAUCUGCCGUGGGUGUAGGAUACUUGAGAGGAGUUGCCCCUAGUACGAGAGGACCGGGGUGAACGAUCCACUGGUGGACCAGUUGUCAUGCCAAUGGCAGUGCUGGGUAGCUAUGAUCGGAAAGGAUAACCGCUGAAGGCAUCUAAGCGGGAAGCCCCCCUCGAAACAAGGUAUCCCUGAGGGCCGAGGUAGACCACCUCGUCGAUAGGCCGGAGAUGUAAGCGCAGCAAUGCGUUCAGUUGACCGGUACUAAUUGCCCGAUAGGCUUGAUUUGAUCCAG